ensembl:misc_RNA Metazoa_SRP Metazoan signal recognition particle RNA
GCCGGGCGCGGUGGCGGGCGCCUGUAGUCCCAGCUACUUGGGAGGCUGAGGCAGGAGAAUGGCGUGAACCCAGGAGGCGGAGCUUGCAGUGAGCCGAGAUCACGCCACUGCACUCCAGCCUGGGCAACAGCGUGAGACUCUGUCUCAA